UUGACCUCAAAUCAGGUAGGACUACCCGCUGAACUUAAGCAUAUCAAUAAGCGGAGGAAAAGAAACUAACAAGGAUUCCCCUAGUAACUGCGAGUGAAGCGGGAAGAGCUCAAAUUUAAAAUCUGGUGGUCCUCGCGGCCGUCCGAGUUGUAAUCUGGAGAAGCGUUUUCCGCGUCGGACCGUGUACAAGUCUUCUGGAAUGGAGCGUCGUAGAGGGUGAGAAUCCCGUCUCUGACACGGACCGCCGAUGCUUUUGUGAUACGCUCUCGA
rnacentral:rRNA from 1 species